AUUGAACGCUGGCGGCAGGCCUAACACAUGCAAGUCGAACGAGUGGCGGACGGGUGAGUAAUGUCUGGGAAACUGCCUGAUGGAGGGGGAUAACUACUGGAAACGGUAGCUAAUACCGCAUACCAUCGGAUGUGCCCAGAUGGGAUUGGCUAGUGGGUGGGGUAAAGGCACACCGAGGCGACGAUCCCUAGCUGGUCUGAGAGGAUGACCAGCCCGGCUGGAACUGGGGCACGGUCCAAAGUCCAACGGGAGGCAGCAGUGGGGAAUAUUGCACAAUGGGCGCAAGCCUGAUGCAGCCAGGCCGCGUGUAUUAAGAAGGCCUUCGGGUGGUAAAGUACUUUCAGCGGGGAGGCGUUACCCGCAGAAGAAGCACCGGCUAACUCCGUGCCAGCCGCCGCGGUAAUAC
rnacentral:rRNA from 1 species